rnacentral:rRNA from 1 species
GGUGAACGCUAGCGGUGCGCCUAACACAUGCAAGUCGAGCGAGAAAUUUUCUUUAGCUUGCUAAAGAAAAUGGAAAGCGGCGAACGGGUGAGGAAUAUGUUGAUAUCUGCCCCAAGUCAGGGAUAGCCAGGGAAACCUGGAUUAAUACCGGAUAGUCUCUACGGAGUAAAAAUUUAUUGCUUGGGGAGGAGUCUUCAUUCUAUCAGCUUGUUGGUAAGGUAAUGGCUUACCAAGGCUAUGACGGAUAACUGGUCUGAGAGGAUGAUCAGUCACAAUGGAACUGAGACACGGUCCAUACUCCUACGGGAGGCAGCAGUGAGGAAUCUUCCACAAUGGACGAAAGUCUGAUGGAGCGACACCGCGUGAAGGAUGAAGGCCUAACGGUUGUAAACUUCUUUUCUGAAGGAGCAUAAUGAGAGUACUUCAGGAAUAAGGGACGGCUAAAUACGUGCCAGCAGCCGCGGUAAUACGUAUGUCCCAAGCGUUACCCGGAAUCACUGGGUGUAAAGGGUUCGUAGGUGGGGAAAUAAGUUGGAUAUGAAAGACCGAAGCUCAACUUCGUGUUUGUCUCCAAAACUGUUUUCCUAGAAUCAGGGAGAGGUAAGCGGAAUUCUAAGUGUAGGGGUGCAAUCCGUAGAUACUUAGAAGAACACCAAAAGCGAAGGCAGCUUACUGGAACUGUAUUGACACUGAGGAACGAAAGCGUGGGUAGCGAAAAGGAUUAGAUACCCUUGUAGUCCACGCCCUAAACGAUGAUAACUAAGCGUUGGAAUUUUCCCAGUGCCGUAGCUAACGCGUUAAGUUAUCCACCUGAGGAGUACGGUCGCAAGAUUAAAACUCAAAGGAAUAGACGGGGACCCACACAAGCAGUGGAUCACGUGGUUUAAUUCGACAAUAAACGGGGAACCUUACCCAGGCUUGACAUCUACCGAAUUUCUCAGAGAUGAGAAAGUGCUUUUAUUAGAACGGUAAGACAGGUGCUGCAUGGUUGUCGUCAGCUCGUGCCUUGAGGUGUUCGGUUAAGUCCGUUAACGAGCGCAACCCAUGUCGUUAGUUAUUAUGUCUAACGAGACUGCCUUGGUUAACAAGGAGGAAGGUGUGAUGACGUCAAAUCAGCAUGGCUUUUACGCCUGGGCUACACACAUGAUACAAUGGUAUGUACAAAGAGUAGCAAUCUGGUAACAGUGAGCUAAUCUUAAAAGCAUAUCUCAGUCCGGAUUGAGGUCUGCAACUCGACCUCAUGAAGUUGGAAUUGCUAGUAAUCGUGAGUCAGAUAUGUCACGGUGAAUAUGUUCCUGGGUCUUGUACUCACCGCCCGUCAUGGCAUGGAAGGCAAUAAUAUCGGAAGUCCCUCUAGUAAUAAGGGGGCCCAUGGUAGGAUUGCUGACUGGGCUA